rnacentral:rRNA from 1 species
UACGUAGGGUGCUAGCGUUGUUCGGAUUCACUGGGCGUAAAGGGUGCGUAGGCGGUCGGGUAAGUCUGAUGUGAAAUCUCACAGCUUAACUGUGAAACUGCAUUGGAUACUAUCCGGCUCGAGGAAUGGAGGGGAGACUGGAAUACUUGGUGUAGCAGUGAAAUGCGUAGAUAUCAAGUGGAACACCAGUGGCGAAGGCGAGUCUCUGGACAUUUCCUGACGCUGAGGCACGAAAGCCAGGGGAGCAAACGGG